CUGUCAGUGAGGCGUAUCCUUACCUGUUCCUCCUCUGGGAGGACACAACAUGAUGAACGAAGGUGCGUAAGACAUGAUUAAGGUAUCUGUGGCCAGGGACGAGAAAUGCUUUGGCCAGCAACUUUCUGAU